GGCGACGUAGCCAAGUGGAUAAGGCAGGGGUCUGCAAAACCCCCAUCAUCGGUUCGAACCCGAUCGUCGCCU
rnacentral:tRNA from 1 species